rnacentral:rRNA from 1 species
CAGCAGCAGCCACGGUAAUACGUAGGGUGCAAGCGUUGUCCGGAAUUAUUGGGCGUAAAGAGCUCGUAGGCGGUUUGUCGCGUCUGCUGUGAAAUCCCGAGGCUCAACCUCGGGCUUGCAGUGGGUACGGGCAGACUAGAGUGCGGUAGGGGAGAUUGGAAUUCCUGGUGUAGCGGUGGAAUGCGCAGAUAUCAGGAGGAACACCGAUGGCGAAGGCAGAUCUCUGGGCCGUAACUGACGCUGAGGAGCGAAAGCGUGGGGAGCGAACAGGAUUAGAUACCCCUGUAGUCCCUGUCUCUUAACA